UACCGAGGUCCCAAGCGUUGUUCGGAUUCACUGGGCGUAAAGGGUGCGCAGGUGGUCGGGUAAGUCUGAUGUGAAAUCCCGCAGCUUAACUGCGGAAUGGCAUUGGAUACUAUUCGGCUAGAGGGUUGGAGGGGGGACUGGAAUUCUCGGUGUAGCAGUGAAAUGCGUAGAUAUCGGGAGGAACACCAGUGGCGAAGGCGACUUCCUGGCCUGUUCUUGACGCUGAGGCGCGAAAGCUAGGGGAGCAAACGGG
rnacentral:rRNA from 1 species